AUGACGUUCACUUGCAGAGCAAGUUCUCACACAAGAAAACACACAAAGCCAGUCUUUACGUGACACCAAACCAUCUUAUCUUUCACAAUCAAACCGUAGGAAGAGAAACAUGGCUGUUGCAUACUCACAUCUUACAAGUGGAAACGCUACCAUUAAACACAAAAGGCUCGCCCUUGAAGAUAACCUACAAAACAUUCAGAUCAUUGACAUUCAUCAUUGCUAAAGAUCGUGAAUGCCAAGACAUCUAUGAUACUCUGGUGCACUUCUCUAAACCAAAUUGAUAUGAUGAGAUAUAUGCAUUUCACUACUCUCUACAAGAGAAGAAAUUUAGCCGCGAGAACGGCCGGUCUAUUUUCAAUCACGAUAAAGAAUUUGGUCGAAUGGGCAUUCCGACUACUGGCAUUACAGUCCAUUGAAUGAGAACUACAAGCUUUGUCAGACGUAUCCUGAGUGGCUGUAUGUGCCGAUUGGCGUGAGUGAAGAAGUCGUGAAUGGCAGUGCUAAGUUUAGAGUGGAGAGAGUGUACCAGCAUUGUCAUAUUACCACCAAGAGACACAGGUGAUGGAUAUAGUUCACAUUGGAUGGUGUGUGUCUGUCUAUUUACUUUUUUAUUUUUUGCUUAA